rnacentral:rRNA from 1 species
CCCUUAGAUGUUCUGGGCUGCACGCGCGCUACACUGACGCACGCAACAGGUGCCUGCUCCGAGAGGACUGGGUAAUCAUUUGAGUGUGCGUCGUGAUGGGGAUAGAAUAUUGUAAUUAUUACUCUUCAACGAGGAAUUCCUAGUAAGCGCCAGUCAGCAGCUUGCGCUGAUUACGUCCCUGCCCUUUGUACACACCGCCCGUCGCUCCUACCGAUUGGGUGAGCCGAUGAAACUCUCGGAUGUAGGCUAUUCAUAGCCCGCAGAAGAGAUUUGAAUCGUAGCGCUUAGAGGAAGGAGAAGUCGUAACA